UCCCGCAUAGCUCAGUUGGUAUGAGCGCCUGACUGUUAAUCAGGAUGUCGUAGGUUCAAGUCCUACUGCGGGAGCCA
rnacentral:tRNA from 1 species